UACGAAGGGUGCAAACGUUGCUCGGAAUCAUUGGGCGUAAAGCGCACGUAGGCGGCUUCGCAAGUCGGAUGUGAAAUCCCUCGGCUCAACCGAGGACGUGCAUCCGAAACUGCGGAGCUUGAGUACUGAAGAGGAUCGCGGAAUUCCCGGUGUAGAGGUGAAAUGCGCAGAUAUCAGGAGGAACACCAGUGGCGAAGGCGGCGACCUGGGCCAAUAUUGACGCUGAGGUGCGAAAGCGUGGGGAGCAAACAGG
rnacentral:rRNA from 1 species